CCAAAAAAAACAUUAAAGUUAUUUUUCAUUACUGUGUUUGCAAUAUUAUUUUAUUAAAACAAGUCUCUCUUGUAAACACGAUCUUAGAUCUCAAUGGGACAACCUUGACAAAUAAAGGUCAAAUAAAAUAAAAAAUAUUGCCAAAAAACAACUGGGUGUUUUUUUUAAGUGCUUUGACUGUUUUAGAAGCAGUAGAGACCCAAAUAUAAGUAUAACAAAGUACAUAAUGUGUAGAUUGUUAAGUUUAAAAUUCGUAAACCCCCGAAAUCAUGUCAUUGGUUGUCUACUUAAGAUGUCAGAAGGCAUUUAAAAAACUGAUCAAAGAACAUACAAAUGGGACACAUUAAAGGGAUUGGUUAAUUUACAUCAAGUGAACAACAAAAUGCCAAGUUAUCUAAAAAACAAGGUCAAAAGGAAAACUUUCCCUUUCUAUAAAUCAAGAAAAACAUUGCUCUCAACACUUUUAGAAGAACUUGUGCAGGUCUAGAUAAAAGGGCUUCUCAAAUUUUAUGAUCCAUCUGUCAAAGUUGUGCAUAGAUAAGUUCUAAUAAAUGUUAUUACUUUUGUGGACUUUGAAAUUAGCAAGGCAAAUGAACCGAGCUCAUUUUAUUGUAGCAAUAUAAAAUAAGAUUUUGUUUCGACUUCUCAUAUUUAGGCUGUACAACUUUUUGCUGAAAUAGAAGUCAUUUUGGAGAAACUUGAGCAAUUUCUUUUAUAAUAAAAUUAUAAAAAAUAAUUUAAAGACAGGACCUUGUUGUCUGCUGUGUGUAUCAGUCAGGAACACACAAUGACAAGGUCUUAACUAUUACCACUGCAGGUUUUUGUGAAGUUUGAGCUGUACAUUGGCUCCUUCGUACGUUAAGUUUUCUGCAGGUCAGAUGUCAGAAAAGUAAAGGAAAAUACAUGUUCUUCAACUUUUUGUAACUCACUUGGUAUAUGCAUAAUUUUCCCAUAUUUCUUAGCAUUUCUGGUAAAGUUCUGUAAAAACUCUUCUACAUUAAUUACUUUAUCGAGCUAUUUAACAAUUUCUAUGUUAUUUGUCAAUUUUGGCAGGAUCAGUCCUCCAUAAAUAAUCAAAUUUACAGUGAAUGUGUUGAUGUGAUCUGAUGCCAUACCAGAACACAUCAAGAUACAACAGAACAGCAUCGUGUCAAGGCCAACAAUAACAAAAAUGUUUUGGAUUAAGAGAAGCUGUCAUUUAAAUUUGGUCAUAAUAGCAUUAGAGGAUAAUAAACAGAUGACCAUAAGAUGGCAGAACCCACAUUGUAAAUGUGACGACAUUUAACAAACCUUUAUCUCAUUGCUAAAUUAGCUGGUUCUUUGAAUGUUUCCGUUUGUGAUCUCAGUGAAUAAAUUCAGUUAGAUUUUCCCUACCACUGCGAUCCUCUGAAGGGUGAAUGAGCACAAAAUUAUUUACAGGCAUUCUCUUUAUGGUUUCUUUUAUUUUCUAAGUAGGAAGCAGAGCUACAGCAUCAGGUUUGCAAAGAUUACUGUCAAACAAACGUGUCAUGGCUGUCGAGUUCUGCAGCAAGACGAAUUAAAGAGAACACAGUUUUAACCAGAUCAGAUCUUGUUUGUCUCAUUAACUUGUAGCUGAGACAGAGCAGCGACAUCAUUUACUGCACCAAAGAUACAACUCAUACAGGAUACUUGGCUUAAAAUACAUCUUCAUUAGAUAAUAUUUUUUGUUUAAAUCAGUUCACAACAGAAAAUCGAUUACCAAGAAAACCUAGUUCUUCAGCGUGAACCGUGGCUAACUCAAAUGUUUUGUUAAAGGGGAAAUAUCUUGUAAAAUCAACUUAGUCUCGCGUUUAUUCUUUUAUGCAUGUUUAAGAAAUCCUUUAAUCGCCAAGGCAACAAUUCAUCUAAGCAAAAUGCCUGGGUGGUCCUAGCCCCACCUUUGAGGUACAGCUCUUCCUCUGAACUGCAGAUUCCAAGCUUCUACCUCACAGAGCAGCCCUUGCUAAUUGCUCCUUGAGACUAGCCAGCAGCAAUUAGCAAACACAUGGUGGAACUGCGUAUCUCUUGAGCUCAUUGUAGGAGCUACACUUUUCAGGGAAAUGCUGUUAAAAUUGUUGUUAAAGGGUUAAUAGAGGAGAGCAGUUCUGAUGACAAGCGGUGAACUCUUCCUGUAUUUAUAUCGUUCAGAGGAACUUUCAAAUUCCCAACUCUGAGCAUCUUUGACAGUCUGGACUCACUCCAUUACCCUAAACCUCAGGAGAUUUUCUGAAACAACCAAACAAUUCCCCCCAAAUUAAAAGUCUUAACAUGCAAAGGAACUUCUUGUCUCUGAUGAGAACAAGAACAAACUAACUUCAAGGUUGACUUUGUUUGUGCUGGUAAACGAAGAGGUGCCGACAAAGAUGCGCCAUUAGUAAGUACGUGUAUCAAAUGAUGAGUCUGUCUCUUUGUGUUUAUCGACCGCGAUGGUCUCAUCUCUUCUUUUCUUUCACUCUUUACGUCCGUACUCCCUCUGGAGAAAGAUUGGAUGAAAAUGUGCCACAGACUAAGUCCCUACCUGUAAUCAGGUAGCGUUUGAUGGUGUCCUCUGUUAGCAGCUUGCUUAAACGUCAGCUAACAUCCAGUCGGACAGAUGAUAAGAGAGGCAGGACUUUGUUUCAACAGAUUUCUGAAGGUGUCUAACAGAUGUACACUCGCUUUACUUCAGGUUCGGAGACACGAUUCUAAAAAGGCAAACCUGUCAUCUCUGUAAAAAAAGCAAUAAUAUGGCUCUGAUUAUAAAUAAUGCACUGAAUCGGAACCAUUUGCUUCUAUAAAUCCAUAUAAUGUCAUCAUUUCUAUGAGCUCAUUUGAUUAAGUUUCACUCUUAUUACAUGCCUAAGAGGAACAGCUUGCAUUAUGAAAUAUACAUGAGUUGAGCAAAUAUUUGUACCAUCUUAGAUUGUGAAUAAAAUGACUUGUAUUCUGUUAUUUCAAGUGUAAUUUAUCCACCUGUGGAAACAUAACCCAACCUGACAAAAUUAGAAGAAUGUCAAAGUGGGUGGAGUCAAAACAUACAGGGGGUGUGGUCAAGUGUGGGGAUGAGCAGAGGGAUUAGUCUAGCGAAUAUCGCCACGAUGAUGCUCACUACUCCAGCUCCUGACUUGCCACUUGUGCUGUGUCUGAGUGAGAUAGUUCUAUGUCUCACUCAGACAAAAACACUAACCAAGGUUGGCUGCUAAAACACGCAGGAUAAUUCACUUGCAGUAACCACCGUUCAACCAAAGGAGGGCAGCACUGAGAUGAUUUUAGGCCAUAUAUUGCAGAACUAAACAAAUUUAAACAAAAAUGUCAUAAUUUGCACAGAAACAUAAAGGUAGAACCUUAGAUAACCUAGUUUAUCAGCAGAAGAAAGUUGAUUUGGGGUUAACUUGCACUUGAAAAGGCGGCUUGUUUUGGUAAAUGUCCAUCUAUCAGGAUUUAUGUGUUUCAUUCAUUUCUACAGUAAUAGCGGACAUUUAGAAAGUUUUCCAGUGAAACGAAGUCAAAUGGCUUGAAAUAGCUUCAGCCAGCAGCCUGGCGAGAGAUGUGUGCCGGAGGAAUUGGCUGCCUUUUACGGCAUGGCCUUGGAGAGCACUUAGGACAAUACAUUACAAUAAUUAAAUUUCAAGGUGGCCAAGAAGCGGAAAGCAGGAAAAAUUGGGAUUUAAUGCCUGCUUCUCCUUCACUCAUGCUCAGUGUGGAUUUUUAGCAACGUUGGAGGAGGGCGAACACAUGUUCACGUUCUAUUCUGGGUGAAGCAAGGAUCCUAAUUAAUCCUUCCCACAGAUCCACCUCUCUAUGCCUUUUGCGUUGCACAAACAAAUAAAACAAAAUCUACAUAUUGUUGCUGUUAAUUUGAAGAGCAAAAUCUAUCUUGUGGAAUACAUUUGGACAUAUUUUUGGAGUGUUUUUGCUCCAGGCUCAGUUAGUAUUGAGUUUGCUGUAAAGGAACAGAGUGGAAACUUAUUAGUUCGGCUUUUAUCUGGCAUCCUCCCUGACUGCUGCCGAACACUGACAGCACGUUAAGCACUUCACUGCUUAAAAGAGAAACUGCUGCGUGCUUGUUUACAACCUUUGGAACAAAUUUAUUUCACCACUCCGUUGAAAUAAACAAGGAAUUAUUAUAAAAACAUCUGAGGUUUUGAUACUGAAGGAUUCUGUAUUUUAUUAGUGACCAGUUAGUUUCUUUGUUUGCAUUUUUUAUAAUAUAAUUUUGUUCAAGUUUGUGGACAGUAAAUACAUGAAUCGGAAUUAAAUACUUAAAUAAGCAGAAACUAAAUCUCAUCUUUCAUUUGUAUGUUGAUAAAAAUGACCAAGCAUUCUGGACAUCAACAUGAUGUGGCGGUGAUGCUUACAGGAUUGGGCUGCACUGCAAAAACAACAAAUUGUUCAGAUGAGCAACCCCUGCAGCAUCUCUGUCACUGGGAAACGGGCCAACUCCAGAUGUCCAGGGAGAAAACAUGCAUUCAACUCUCCAAAAACCUCUCACUGACCAAGGUCCGCCUGCAGCAACGCAACCGUCCCAGUUUUCCACCAAGACAUUCCCUGUGUAGCCAAACAACUGCAGAUGGAAUGAAUGUGACCAGAGCGAGUUAAAGAAAAGGCCAACUUUGGUUCAUGGACAAAAAGUGAUUGGGCUUCUUUUUCCAUACUGUUGCCUGUUCCUCUCAGGCUGAUCAUUGCUGCUGUUACCUGUUUGAGGGCUGUGAGUGUCUGGACACCGGACGCCUUGGCGACCAUGG